rnacentral:rRNA from 1 species
GACGAACGCUGGCGGCGUGCUUAACACAUGCAAGUCGAACGGUAAGGCCCUUCGGGGUACACGAGUGGCGAACGGGUGAGUAACACGUGGGUGAUCUGCCCUGCACUUCGGGAUAAGCCUGGGAAACUGGGGCUAAUACCGGAUAGGACCACUGCCUGCAUGGGUGGUGGUGGAAAGCUUUUGCGGUGUGGGAUGGGCCCGCGGCCUAGCAGGUUGUUGGUGGGGUGAUGGCCUACCAAGGCGACGACGUGCGGCCGGGCUGAGAGGGUGACCGGACACGCGGGGCCCUAGAUAAGGCCCACCCCCCUACGGGAGGAAGCGGGGGGGAAUAUUGCACACUGGACGCAAGCCUGGUGCAGCGCCGCCGCGUGAGGGAUGAAGACCUUCGGGUUGUAAACCUCUCUCAGCACCGACGAAGCGCAAGUGACGGUAGGUGCAGAAGAAGGACCGGCCAACUACGUGCCAGCAGCCGCCGUAA